rnacentral:rRNA from 1 species
GACGAACGCUGGCGGCGUGCCUAAUACAUGCAAGUCGAACGCAGUGGGGACGGGUUAGUAACCCGCUGGUAACCUCCCAUCAUUGGGGAUAACACUUGGAAACAGGUGCUAAACCGAUACUGAUGGAUGGACCCGCGGGGCAUUAGCUAGUUGGAGAGGUAACGGAUCCCCAAGGCAACGAUGCAUAGCCGACCGGGGAGGGUGAACGGCCACACUGGGACUGAGACACGGCCCAGACUCCUAAGGGAGGCAGCAGUAGGGAAUCUUAGGCAAUGGACGAAAGUCUGACCGAGCAACGCAGGGUGAGUGAAGAAGGUUUUCGGUUCGUAAAGCUCUGUAGUUAGAGAAGCGGUAUCUAACCAGAAAGCCCCGGCUAACUACGUGCCAGCAGCCGCGGUAAUUC